rnacentral:rRNA from 1 species
AGUGAAUGCUGGCGGUAGGCCUAACACAUGCAAGUCGAACGGCAGCACAGUAAGAGCUUGCUCUUACGGGUGGCGAGUGGCGGACGGGUGAGGAAUACAUCGGAAUCUACUUUUUCGUGGGGGAUAACGUAGGGAAACUUACGCUAAUACCGCAUACGACCUACAGGUGAAAGCAGGGGAUCUUCGGACCUUGCGCGAUUGAAUGAGCCGAUGUCGGAUUAGCUAGUUGGCGGGGUAAAGGCCCACCAAGGCGACGAUCCGUAGCUGGUCUGAGAGGAUGAUCAGCCACACUGGAACUGAGACACGGUCCAGACUCCUACGGGAGGCAGCAGUGGGGAAUAUUGGACAAUGGGCGCAAGCCUGAUCCAGCCAUACCGCGUGGGUGAAGAAGGCCUUCGGGUUGUAAAGCCCUUUUGUUGGGAAAGAAAAGCAGCAGGUUAAUACCCCGCUGUUCUGACGGUACCCAAAGAAUAAGCACCGGCUAACUUCGUA